rnacentral:rRNA from 1 species
GACGAACGCUGGCGGCGCGCCUAACACAUGCAAGUCGAACGAGCGAGAGAGAGCUUGCUUUCUCGAGCGAGUGGCGAACGGGUGAGUAACGCGUGAGGAACCUGCCUCAAAGAGGGGGGACAACAGUUGGAAACGACUGCUAAUACCGCAUAAGCCCACGGUGCCGCAUGGCACAGAGGGAAAAGGAGCAAUCCGCUUUGAGAUGGCCUCGCGUCCGAUUAGCUAGUUGGUGAGGUAAUGGCCCACCAAGGCGACGAUCGGUAGCCGGACUGAGAGGUUGAACGGCCACAUUGGGACUGAGACACGGCCCAGACUCCUACGGGAGGCAGCAGUGGGGAAUAUUGCACAAUGGGGGAAACCCUGAUGCAGCGACGCCGCGUGGAGGAAGAAGGUCUUCGGAUUGUAAACUCCUGU